rnacentral:rRNA from 1 species
GAUGAACGCUGGCGGCGUGCCUAAUACAUGCAAGUCGAGCGAACGGACGAGAAGCUUGCUUCUCUGAUGUUAGCGGCGGACGGGUGAGUAACACGUGGAUAACCUACCUAUAAGACUGGGAUAACUUCGGGAAACCGGAGCUAAUACCGGAUAAUAUUUUGAACCGCAUGGUUCAAAAGUGAAAGACGGUCUUGCUGUCACUUAUAGAUGGAUCCGCGCUGCAUUAGCUAGUUGGUAAGGUAACGGCUUACCAAGGCAACGAUGCAUAGCCGACCUGAGAGGGUGAUCGGCCACCCUGGAACUGAGGCACGGUCCAGACUCCUACGGGAGGCAGCAGUAGGGAAUCUUCCGCAAUGGGCGAAAGCCUGACGGAGCAACGCCGCGUGAGUGAUGAAGGUCUUCGGAUCGUAAAACUCUGUUAUUAGGGAAGAACAUAUGUGUAAGUAACUGUGCACAUCUUGACGGUACCUAAUCAGAAAGCCACGGCUAACUACGUG